rnacentral:rRNA from 1 species
AAAUUGAAGAGUUUGAUCAUGGCUCAGAUUGAACGCUGGCGGCAGGCCUAACACAUGCAAGUCGAACGGUAACAGGAAACAGCUUGCUGUUUCGCUGACGAGUGGCGGACGGGUGAGUAAUGUCUGGGAAACUGCCUGAUGGAGGGGGAUAACUACUGGAAACGGUAGCUAAUACCGCAUAACGUCGCAAGACCAAAGAGGGGGACCUUCGGGCCUCUUGCCAUCGGAUGUGCCCAGAUGGGAUUAGCUAGUAGGUGGGGUAACGGCUCACCUAGGCGACGAUCCCUAGCUGGUCUGAGAGGAUGACCAGCCACACUGGAACUGAGACACGGUCCAGACUCCUACGGGAGGCAGCAGUGGGGAAUAUUGCACAAUGGGCGCAAGCCUGAUGCAGCCAUGCCGCGUGUAUGAAGAAGGCCUUCGGGUUGUAAAGUACUUUCAG